rnacentral:rRNA from 1 species
GACCUACGGGGGGCAGCAGUGGGGAAUAUUGGGCAAUGGGCGCAAGCCUGACCCAGCAACGCCGCGUGAAGGAAGAAGGCUUUCGGGUUGUAAACUUCUUUUCUCAGGGACGAAGAAAGUGACGGUACCUGAGGAAUAAGCCACGGCUAACUACGUGCCAGCAGCCGCGGUAAUACGUAGGUGGCAAGCGUUAUCCGGAUUUAUUGGGUUUAAAGGGUGCGUAGGCGGAUUUUUAAGUCAGCGGUAAAAUGUCCGGGCUCAACCCGGGCCGGCCGUUGACACUGGGGAUCUUGAGUGGGCGAGAA